rnacentral:rRNA from 1 species
UAGGGAAUUUUACGCAAUGGGCGAAAGCCUGACGUAGCGACACCGCGUGAGCGAAGAAGCCCUUUGGGGUGUAAAGCUCUGUCGGCUGGAACGAAAAAAAUGACGGUACCAGCAAAGGAAGCAUCGGCUAACUACGUGCCAGCAGCCGCGGUAAGACGUAGGAUGCAAGCGUUGUCCGGAUUUAUUGGGCGUAAAGAGUUCGUAGGCGGUUUGUUAAGUCUGAUGUUAAAGAUCAGGGCUCAACCCUGGGAGUGCAUUGGAUACUGGCAGACUGGAGUGCGGUAGAGGUAAGUGGAAUUCCUGGUGUAGCGGUGAAAUGCGUAGAUAUCAGGAAGAACACCGGUGGCGUAGGCGACUUACUGGGCCGCAACUGACGCUGAGGAACGAAAGCCAGGGGAGCAAAUGGG